AAGAUGGGGCGGCGCGGCCGCGGCUCGCCAGCACCAGCCCUGGAACCCCACGGGGUCCUCGACAACAGCGCCUUUGCGGCGUGGGCCCCUUUCUGCAGCUCCUCCACCGGCGCGCUGUCGGCUCCGGGGCACUGGGGCUUUGAAGGGCGCCAGCUCCCAGCCGCACUUGCACGCCUAGGAGGGCGCAGGCCGCGUGUCCCUGUGGGAGGAAGGCCCCAGCAACCUGCAAAGACCUCACGUCACAGAAACUUGCGGCGUUUGCCCCCGAUGCGCGCGUCAGGUGCUCCGUCCCUUCCAGGUGGCAGAGGAGAGGGAAGGGUCCCGCCUGGUGGGGGCCUGAGAGCCACCGGGCUGCGGUGCGCGAGUGUGGACACCGCCCCCGCCUUCUGCGUCUACAGCCCCGGGUUCUGGGACCUUUGGAAACCGCUUUGGACGAGGCUGAGCAUCUCUUUCCCCACGCUGACCUCCCCCAUAGACUCCGGAUGGGGGUAAAUGAGGGUUGCAGUGAGGACCUGGAAGGUCAAGAGACAAGGUAGCCCAGCACCUGGCCCUCAUGGUAUGCAAUUUCUGCUUCAGGAUGAUGAAAAAAAAAAUCCCUGGCUCAGUUCCCUCUUGAGGUGCUGGGCUCAUACCUAACCUUGUCUUUUCCCCUCCCUGCCGUCACCCAGCCUCCUGUGAACAAAGCAUCACAACAGUCAGCAUCACAAACCCCCAUCAGCCCCGUGCAGUUGCAGUUGUGCUGGACCAGAGCCCAUCAGCCUGGCCUUCAGGCUCUCCUCCACAGUGCCCCGCCCAGCUGCUCAGGAUGGACGUGACCAUCUUCCAUCUGACGCUGUGUGCUCCCUGCACCUGGCCCCAGGAUGCGUGCAGUGAGCUAAACUGUGUCCCUCUUGAAAUGCAUGUGCUAAAGUCCUAAUCCCGAGUACCUCAGAAUGGGAGCAUAUGUGGAGGGAGGGUCUUUACCAAGUUAAAUCGAGUCAUCAGGGUGAGGCAUCCAUCAGCCCAUGUGACUGGUGUCCCUACAGAAAAAGGGAAAUGUGGCGACAGACACACACACACGAGAACACAGUGUGAUCAUGAACAUGGCCACGGACAAGCCAAGGAGAGAGGCCUGGACCCUGUCCUCCCCACACAGCCCUCAGAGAUGACCAGCCCUGCCCGCACCUUGACUUUGGACUUCCCACCUCCAGAACAGAGAAACAAUCCAUCUCGGUUGUUCAAGCCUCUAAUUCGUGCUGCUUUGUGAUGGCAGCCCCAGGAAACUGAAACAAUGGGCUAGCAGGCAAUGAAAAGGGCAGGCCCCCCCAGGCCAGCUUCAAAGUGAGUCAUCUUCCCCUCUCCUUUCCUGAGAGGCGGCCACCUUUGCCUGCUGCCCCCAGCACACACCGGACACCGUGCCCAAACACUGGCCAGUCCCCAAAGGGCAUGGGAGAAAAGUCAUCCAUCCCUGAAAUUCACAGGGGAGGCAACCACGUGGCACCCACUUCUCUUAGGAGCAUCCUGAAAGGGGGUGCAAUUAAGCCAGUUCAAUUUGGAAUUGCUUAAAAAUGUGGAUUUAAAGCAGAAUGUAAAAAGGAAUGAUUUCCGACCGUGCUAGUGAGGUUUUAUUUUUUUACUUUUUACAGCUCCUGGGAAAUCCAGAAACUUCACUCUAGAGAAGCUUGUUUGCCAAACCUUGCUUUGGGCGGUGGAGACAGACUAUCAUGUCCUGGAUCAGCGUGUGGUGACUGUGGAGGCAUUUACACACAGCGCACUCCAGCUCUGCCACUGGGCCGGCUGAGGUGGCUGCGGUACACGGCGCCCAUCCUGAGCCCCAGGUUCCUCACAUGUCAACAGCAUGAAAAGUGCCUCUAAGACAUCCACAGGUGUGCAGUGUUAGAGCGGGUGAGUGUCCUAGUGUAGACUUAGCGGAGUGGGGCUAGGGCUGCGCGUAGUGGGUGUUCUGCCCCCGGCUUGCUACCCAGCCCUCCCUGUCCCUCAGACCUGGCCCUAACCCUCAGGCAGACCCGUGUCUUCUCUUCCACCCCCUCCCUCCUCCUCCCUGGCACUCAGCCUUGCUCUUCUACUCUACCCUCCCUCCCCAGGCAGCACCUCAGCUUGGUCAGCUCCCUUAAGGACUGUGGCUCCCUUAGGACAAGGCUCUGUCCCUCAGAGCACUCAGUGCGAUCUCAUGCUGGCAUCUUAGAGACACUGUAUUCACCAGGUAAGAUGGAUUCACAUCUGCUGGGCUCACGAACACUUCCUCCUUCCUUGCCACCAGUCAGCAUCACAACCAGCCUGGCCAGGCUCCCGUCCCAGCCCAGCCUAGCAGCUAACCCCAGCUCCAUCCCCCAGUAAGCCCCUCUGCCUGCGCCUCAGCUUCUUCAUGGAAGACGAGUCAGGUCAUGAUGCCACCAGGGAGCGUGUUUCCAUGUUGAACUGAGACACUAAGCCCUUGACAAAUGUUGGCCAAGAAAAAAAGGGGCUCCAAGAGGGGACCUGUGGCUCAGGUAGAAGACGGUGAACGAGCAUUGCCUGAAUCAGAGUUAGCUACUCUGGUUACGCAGGUGUCCCCGGCGGGUUGGUCAAAAGCCCUCCCCUGAGUCCUGUGACAAGUGUGGGGAGGGAGGCAAAUCAAAGACCCCCACACACCUCCUGCAUGGAUGGCCAGAGCGCUGGUCCCACCUCCUUCCUUCCAAACUGCAACCCCGAUCAGCACAGCAGAGAAGUUUCCUGUGGCAGGGACCAGUAAUUCAGUGCUUCCCCUGGAGAGUCUGGGAUUGCACAGAACACCAGAGGCUGGGGAUUUAUUUGUUCACCAACAUUCAUUCAACAAACACUUACUGAGGCCAGCACUGGGAAUGGAGAUGAAUUUCCCUGUCCUCAUGGAGCUUGCUUUCGAAAGGGAAGGAGGCAGACAGUAAACAAAACAAGCAAGUCAAUAUAGAGCAUGAUGCAGAAAAGGUGUGAUGCCACCCUCUUGCCUGAGUUUAUAACAAGCAGAUGAUGUUGUCCUAAGAAUUAAUUUCAGCCGGUGAAAGAGUGCAGGCAAAGAACCUGGUCUCGGACUUUCUGGUGAUGCUUAAGAACAUAGUUGCGGUUUUUGUUCUGAUUCUUUGUGCAUCUCGCGCUAGUGAAGGGUUCUGCCAUGAUUGCCACCUCUGGAGACGUCACAGCCAGCACAGCCAUGACCAGGGAUGAACUUGGCCAUUGUCCAGCAGCACCAUGGGAGGACGAGCUGCUGUAAGUGAAGGUCAUCAUCCAUCUGAUUUGCUGGCUUUUUGCCACUACUGCGGUGGAAGUCUUAGAGUAGCCACCUUCUCUGUACUCAGACCUUCACUUCGCCAGAUGUCAGCACAGCAGUGUCAGCAGCUUCGUCAGACACAAACACCACCACCUCUCUGAAUCAGAAGCACGUGGAAAGCCCACCUUGCAAGAAGACCCAGCUAUUCCAAAAGUACCCAUAUCCCUGUAGCAUCCUCUUAGCUGAAUGUCUCUACUCCUUAAACUUGUACCACUUUGAAGAGUAAAAAUUUAAAUUCAU